rnacentral:rRNA from 1 species
UUGACCUCAAAUCAGGAGAAA